rnacentral:rRNA from 1 species
ACUCAAAUGAAUAGACGGGGACCCGCACAAGCGGUGGAGCAUGUGGAUUAAUUCGAUACUAACCGAAGAACCUUACCCAGGUUUGACAUCGAUUGCAACAUCCAGAGAUGGGUGCCUCCCCCACAAGGGGACAUGAAGACACUUGUUGCAUGGCUGUCGUCAGCUCGUGCCGUGAGGUGUACGGUUAAGUCCGCCAACGAGCGCAACCCUCGUCCUAUGUUGCCAGCGGGUAAUGCCGGGAACUCAUAGGAGACCGCCGGUGUAAAUCGGAGGAAGGUGAGGAUGACGUCAAGUCAGCAUGGCAGUUACGCCUGGGGCUUCACACAUGCUACAAUGGAUGAAACAAAGGGCAGCAAUACCGCGAGGUGGAGCUAAUCCCAAAAAUACAUCCCCAGUUCAGAUUGUAGUCUGCAACUCGACUACAUGAAGGCGGAAUCGCUAGUAAACGCAGGUCAGCUAUACUGCGUUGAAUACGUUCCCGGGUCUUGUACACACCGCCCGU